rnacentral:rRNA from 1 species
UACUUGUAGGGAGCGGCGGACGGGUGCGUAACGCGUGGGAAUCUGCCCUGAAGUGAGGGAUAAGCCCGAGAAAUCGGGUCUAAUACCGCAUAUGGUCUACGGAUUAAAGCCUUCGGGCGCUUCGGGAGGAGCCUGCGUUCGAUUAGCUUGUUGGUGAGGUAAUGGCUCACCAAGGCUAUGAUCGAUAGCUGGUCUGAGAGGAUGAUCAGCCACACUGGGACUGAGACACGGCCCAGACUCCUACGGGAGGCAGCAGUAGGGAAUUUUCCACAAUGGGCGAAAGCCUGAUGGAGCAAUGCCGCGUGCAGGAUGACAGCCUUCGGGUCGUAAACUGCUUUUAUGAUUGAGGAUUAUGACGUUAGAUCAUGGAUAAGCUUCGGCUAACUCCGUGCCAGCAGCCGCGGUCAGACGGAGGAAGCAAGCGUUAUCCGGAGUGACUGGGCGUAAAGAGAUGCGUAGGCGGUAUAUUAAGCGGACAGUGAAAUCUUGAGGCUCAACCUUGAGGCUACUGUCUGAACUAAUAUACUAGAGCCCGAUAGGGGAAGCUGGAAUUCCUAGUGUAGGAGUGAAAUCCGUAGAUAUUAGGAGGAACACCAAUGGCGAAGGCAGGCUUCUGGAUCGGUGCUGACGCUCAGGCUCGAAAGCGUGGGGAGCGAACGGGAUUAGAUACCCCGGUAGUCCACGCCGUAAACGAUGGAUACUAGCUAGUUGGAGGUAUCGACCCCUUCAGCAGCGAAGCUAACGCGUUAAGUAUCCCGCCUGGGGAGUACGGUCGCAAGAUUAAAACUCAAACGAAUAGACGGGGACCCGCACAAGCGGUGGAGCGUGUUCUUUAAUUGGAUGAUAAGCCAAGAACCUUACCCAGACUUGACAUCCUUGGAA